AUAAUACUCCCUCCGUUUCUUUUUAUUAGUCGCUGGAUAGUGCAAAAUUGCACUAUCCAGCGACUUAUAAAAAGAAACGGAGGGAGUAAUGGGCUCUAGAAGGAAACUAAUACUCCCUCCGUUUCUUUUUAUAAGUCGCUGGAUAGUGUAAUUUUGCACUAUCCAGCGACUAAUAAAAAGAAACGGAGGGAGUAUAAC
rnacentral:pre_miRNA from 1 species